GGCCAGGCGCAGCGCAAUCCGAACUUGUGAACCCCGUCAGGACCGGAAGGUAGCAGCGGUAAGCAAUCCGUCGGGUGUGCCGCUGUUCACCCUGGCCCUU
rnacentral:SRP_RNA from 1 species